UACGUAGGGUGCAAGCGUUGUCCGGAAUUAUUGGGCGUAAAGAGCUCGUAGGCGGUUUGUUGCGUCGGCUGUGAAAUCCCGAGGCUCAACCUCGGGUCUGCAGUCGAUACGAGCAAACUAGAGUGUUUGCAGGGGAGACUGGAAUUCCUGGUGUAGCGGUGAAAUGCGCAGAUAUCAGGAGGAACACCGGUGGCGAAGGCGGGGUCUCUGGGCAACAACUGACG
rnacentral:rRNA from 1 species